AUUAACGCUGGCAGAGUGCAUAACACAUGCAAGUCGAGCGAGGGUGGCGGAUUAUCGCGCCUUAGCGGCAGACGAGUGAGUAACACGUAAGCAACCUGCCCUUGAAUGGCGAACAACACCGCGAAAGCGGUGCUAAUACGCCGUAUAAUCCCCUGAGGGCAUCUUCGGGGGAUGAUAGGCCCGCAAGGGUCGUUCAAGGAGGGGCUUGCGUCCCAUCAGCUAGUUGGCGGUGUAACGGACCACCAAGGCUAUGACGGGUACCCGGCCUGAAAGGGCGGACGGGCACGAAGGCACUGAGACACGGGCCUUACUCCUACGGGAGGCAGCAGUGGGGAAUUUUGGACAAUGGGGGAAACCCUGAUCCAGCAACUCUGCGUGAGGGACGAAGUUCUUCGGAAUGUAAACCUCUUUUAUUGGGGACGAACGCCCGCAAGGGCUUGACGGUACCCAGUGAAUAAGCCACGGCUAACUAUGU
rnacentral:rRNA from 1 species